UACGAUGGGGGCUAGCGUUGUUCGGAGUUACUGGGCGUAAAGGGCGCGUAGGCGGCCCUCCAAGUCGGGCGUGAAAGCCCACGGCUCAACCGUGGAAUUGCGCUCGAGACUGAAGGGCUCGAGGACGGGAGAGGAUGGUGGAAUUCCCAGUGUAGAGGUGAAAUUCGUAGAUAUUAGGAAGAACACCGGUGGCGAAGGCGGCCCACUGGAUCGGUACUGACGCUGAGGUGCGAAAGCGUGGGGAGCAAACAGG
rnacentral:rRNA from 1 species